UGAUUUUUCCAUGUUAAUUUAUUGAUAGAAAUAACCUUUUACACAUUAAGGAAAAAUAUUCCUUAUUUUUCAGAGUUUUUUUUAUUUUUAACUUUAUUUUCUAUUUUCCAAGCAUAAUAAACCACCCUCCCGCCCACCAAAACCCAGUCACUCCUCACACUCAUUUCAUGCAUGCCUGACCCUGAACACACGUCCUACCUAUUACACGCUCACACCAUAAAAAAAUAGGAGAAACCAAGAUUUUUUUUUAUUAUUUUUUUUUCCUGUGUCAACAUUAAAAUAAACCAGUAAUCUUUCUUUAAAAGAGGCAGAGCUCUUUAAGCAUGCUCCUUGUAAUGGAACUUUGAAUUGAAAAUGUAAGGGUAGUCGCAGCAUUUACUUUAUAAUGUAGGAAGAGUAAAACUUAAGAGGAAAAUAAUUAUAUUCCCUCUUGGUUGAAACCUGAAAAUAUAAAUGACAAUAACAAUGUACUAAUUUUAAUUUGAUUAGAUUUUUGGGGGUGAAAUCAAUUUUGUUGUCUGCACUAUUAUUUGUAUUGUUAAAAAUAUUCGAAGACUAAAUGGUGAAAAUGUUUUAGUGGCCAGACAAUUGCAAUCUGAAGGACAUCACUGCCAGAAGAAACACACAAUGGAUAGUUCUAUAGGUAAAUUCUUAUCAGAGCAAUUGAGGCUUUUAUUCAUUGAUAAAAUAUGAAAAGAGCAAAAAAAUUGUUGGCAGUUGUGAUAAUAGCCUUGUAGCUGACCUAGAUUACAGCUGUAAAUCACAUUUGUAUAUAUUAAAAACGCCUAUAGUGGCUGGAGACCAAAAUACUGCUUUUCCCCCAUCUUCAAUAAUGUCUAGAACAUGGACUGUGUUUUCAAUUCCAGUCAAAGAGGGACAUCCAAUAGAGCAGGAUUUAAAGGUAUUCAAAAUGAAAGGAACACUACAAGCACCACAACCACUAGAGCCAGAUGCAGUGGUUAAGGUGCAAAGAAUGCCGUGGCGACAUUUCACUGCAAGUAAUCAAACCUUUUUAGUACACUUUGAGCACAUCUACUUUUCUUCGGCAGAAACUGGAUGUCCUAUAAAGCAGGAUUGUGGUCAAUGGCUGAGAGAGCUAAGCUAACACUCCAUGACCAACUAGAUUCUCCUGCAGCAAGGGCUGCAACCACAUGGCAGGAUCCUGGUAAGCUGUCAAACUGUACUAAAAUGGUUUGACUACUUACCUUGGGGAAACACCGGGGCACUCCUAGCACCAUAACAACUUCAAAAGGUCAUAGCAAUUAUGGUGUUUGGAGUGUUUUUUAUUUUUUUUAAGGCAAAUAUAAUGUAUAAUCAAUUUUUAAUAUACAGUGGUGCCCUUGUUUCUGAAACAUUCAAAGUUAAUUUACUUGCUUCACUAACAAUCUAGUCAUCUGAUGUUUUCAUAAAUGUAAUAUUUACUUUUUGUCCUUAAGCACUAAUAUAUGCAAAUCACACUUUCUCCAAUAUUCCACUGUAGCCUAGGUUUUAGAAUAUUUUCAAUUAAACCCAGUUGGAUCAAUAAAAAUAACUGAAUCACUUAGUGAUUAAUCAACAAUAUGAAGAACGGGCCAAAAAUAUGGUCCUGAAGACUGUACAUCUCCCUUAACCUGGAGCUAAACCUAACUAAUCAUGGGGAAAUGAUAUUAAGAACGUUUGUGUAUAUUGUAUAAUUUGGGAUGUAUGUCUGUGCAGAGACACGCACAACUAUUGUACAACUAAGCACUUUAAACAUUCCCACUGCCAUCGUUAAUCAACAAGGAUGUGGUACAGGGAUCAAAAUUUUGUGAUGCUAAAACACUAACAAUAGCAUUUCUACGUUUUGUAUAUUUUGGAGUCAGUAAAAUGUUUUACAUUGCAAUCCAGAUUGAUUGCUUACUGGCAAACGCUGAUUUUCUAUUUUUAAUACAGGAAAUACAUUUAUUAAGCAGAGAUUUGUUAUAUGUGUUCCGUUUACAGCUUUUCAAGAACUUGGCUCUUAGGUUUGAUUUUUAUUAUUUUUUUUGUCCUAGUCCUUUACUAAUAAAGAUCAAUGUCCUUACAUAAGCAUAAUUGCAUUUACCAAAAUGACUCAACAUUUCACCAUUGACCUGUCCUUGUCAGCCAAUAAAGAAAUGUAAAAUAUAUUCAAGAUUUACCAUAAUUACAAGUGAGGCUGAACCAAGCUCUUGAAAAUAUAAGUAAUAUCAGUCUAGUUUUUAUUUUAUUUUUAAUGCAAGCCCCCCUACCCUUACUUCAUACUAAGAAUUUUUGUAAAGGUAAUAACAAAAAUGUAGUAAAUAAUUAUAUUUAAUUUUUCUUCUUUGCAAAUGCCAUCUUGAUGUAGUUAUAAUCUUUUUAUAUAUUAAUAAAUCAAGCUGCAGUGGGCAUAUAUCUUGCGAUGUUACCACACAUAUAUGGCAGUUUCUAUAACAUGUUGGAAAUUAUCAAUUAACUGAGAAUGCAUAAGAAACACUAAACAAUCAACUAUAUGAAGAACUAUAAAAGGAUGGGUACUCCAAUGAACUUGAUUUUAUGAACAGCAGAAGACAUUGAACAUCAAGGGCUCAGUGUAUAUAUAUUUUAGAAUUAUAGUAAUUACUGGCCAAUCUAAUUUUGAAUAUGAAUUUUCCUUGGAGUUGGGCAGUUAAAUUCAAGUUGUGAAUAUGACCAUAGUUCAGGCUCUGAAACUAAAUGCAAAAGUAUCGCGAUCUGUAUGUGAAAGAAUGAAAGAGGUGUCAUUUUUAUCCUUGUAUCCUUGGUAUCCUUCAUGGAUUAGGACUUGUAGAAUUUCAAAUUUAAAGUCCACACCACUCCCUAUACCCAAAACUUCUUGCACCCGUCUUCCUUCCUACCUCAGAUUUCCACAAUAUAUGCUUCCAUUGAAUAGGAAAUGUAAAUGGUAAGCUUGGUAUGCAGGGUUUCUCUCAGCAGUAGGAAAAAAGGAAGCACCCUGAACAUAUUUCACAGGGUAGCAGACCAUCUUCCUCAAUAUCCUUCAGCAGAGUGAUCUUGGUUCAGAAUGUCUGGGUGGAAGAAAAAAAAUAUAUAGACACGGGCAUUUAGGGGAAAAUUCAAUUUCUUUUAGGAUUCUCCAAAUGGAUAAGGCCCAUGCACACUCUGUAAAAAAAAAAAAAAAAGAAAGAAAGAAAAGAAAAUAGAAAUAGAACAUUGUUAGUAAUUAGCUGUCCAUGAUACAUUUUCUUUUUUUUAAACAAAAUUGUUAUAAAGUCUAAU